UACGAGGGGGCAAGCGUUGUUCGGAAUUAUUGGGCGUAAAGGGUGCGUAGGUGGGCAGGUAAGUCAGUGGUGAAAUCCUCCGGGCGUUAACUCGGAAACUGCCAUUGAUACUAUCUGUCUUGAAUACCGUGGAGGUUAGCGGAAUAAUGUCAUGUAGCGGUGAAAUGGCUUAGAGUAUGACAUAGAACACCAAUUGCGAAGGCAGCUGGCUACACGGAAUAAUUGACACUGGAUGCACGAAAAGCGUGGGGGAUCAAACAGG
rnacentral:rRNA from 1 species